AGAGUUUGAUCCUGGCUCAGAAUGAACGCUGGCGGCGUGCUUUACACAUGCAAGUCGAGCGAGGCGUCCCGCAAGGGACAGUCGAGCGGCGAACGGGUGAGUAACGCGUGGAUGACCUGCCUUGAGGUGGGGGAUAACUCGGGGAAACUCGAGCUAAUACCGCAUACGAUCGAGAGAUCAAAGGGGCGCAAGUCCCGCCACAAGAGGGGUCCGCGUACGAUUAGCUAGUUGGUAGGGUAAUGGCCUACCAAGGCGACGAUCGUUAGCCGGCCUGAGAGGGUGAUCGGCCACACUGGAACUGAGACACGGUCCAGACUCCUACGGGAGGCAGCAGUGGGGAAUUUUGCGCAAUGGGCGAAAGCCUGACGCAGCAACGCCGCGUGGAGGAUGAAGGUCUUUGGAUUGUAAACUCCUGUCAGCAGGGAAAAAGGCACCUGGCCACACCAGGUGAUUGAUUGUACCUGCAGAGGAAGCCCCGGCUAACUCUGUGCCAGCAGCCGCGGUAAUACAGAGGGGGCAAGCGUUAUUCGGAAUUAUUGGGCGUAAAGGGCGCGUAGGCGGCGUCUCAAGUGGAUGGUGAAAUCCCCGGGCUUAACCUGGGAACUGCCGUCCAAACUGAGAGGCUUGAGUCCGGGAGAGGUAAGUGGAAUUCCCAGUGUAGCGGUGAAAUGCGUAGAUAUUGGGAGGAACACCAGUGGCGAAAGCGGCUUACUGGACCGGAACUGACGCUGAGCGC
rnacentral:rRNA from 1 species